rnacentral:rRNA from 1 species
AUUGAACGCUGGCGGCAUGCUUUACACAUGCAAGUCGAACGGUAACAGGGAGCUUGCUCCGCUGACGAGUGGCGAACGGGUGAGUAAUGCGUCGGAACGUGCCGAGUAGUGGGGGAUAACGCAGCGAAAGUUGUUCUAAUACCGCAUACGAACUGAGGUAGAAAGUGAGGGACCUUCGGGCCUCACGCCAUUCGAGGCGCCGACGUCUGAUUAGCUAGUAGGUGAGGUAAAGGCGCACCUAGGCGACGAUCAGUAGCGGGUCUGAGAGGAUGAUCCGCCACACUGGGACUGAGACACGGCCCAGACUCCUACGGGAGGCAGCAGUGGGGAAUUUUGGACAAUGGGCGAAAGCCUGAUCCAGCCAUGCCGCGUGUCUGAAGAAGGCCUUCGGGUUGUAAAGGACUUUUGUCGGGGAGGAAAUCCCCGUCGCUCAUACCGCUGGGGGAUGACAGUACCUGAAGAAUAAGCACCGGCUAACUACGUGCCAGCAGCCGCCGUAAAAC